UCUGCUUUUGCAUCUUUCUCAUUUUCUCUUGCCGCUGCCAUGUAAGAAGUGCCUUUCACCUCCCACCAUGAUUCUGAGGCCUCCCCAGCCUUGUGGAAAUCUACAUAACUGGAGCCUCAGCUCUUCACUGACUGUCCUCAGGUUCCAGGGGCCACCUGCAGUUCCUUGCCACAUGGAUUUCUCCAGCAUAGCUGUGUACUUCAUCAAGGCACAAGGAGAGUCUCCAGUCUACCAGAGCCCUAUGUAAUGUAACAUAAUCAACAAAGUGACGUCCCAUUCAUAUUCAAUUGGUCAGAAGCAAGUUACAGUCCCCACCCAGGUCAGAGGGAGGAGAUAUGACAAAGAAGUAAACAUCAGGAGGCUGGGACAAUGGGGAUACUUAAGGUCCAUCCUGCUACAACUUCCACAAUGGCGUCUUGACCAUGAGGGCUCCACAGACACUGAAGCGGUCACCCAGGCUGCAAGUCUUGGAGGCAUUCUCUAGGAAUCACAGUCCCAUUCUUCUGCAGGCAAACGGAGUCGCCAUAUGACCCAGCCCUGGUCUUGCUUGGCUUUCUGGAUGUUCUCAACCUUGACAUGACUCCUUAUUCUCCAAUUCAUUUGGACCUCAAGACACUACUACUCUGGCUACAGCCGGCAUUAAAAAGAUGACACAGAAAAAUUACAGAGUCAGCAUAUAUUUGAAUACUGGAUAAAAGGGAAGAGGAUGAAAUGGAUUUUUCAAAGCUUCUAAAGAAAACAGAACUAGUGAAGAAAAUGUCCCGAUAGAAGAAAUGACUGAUGACAUAAGGACAGUGCUAAAUUAAUAACCAAUCAUUCCUCUUCCUCCUCCAGCUGUGUAGCAGACUCCUCUUAUAAACCUCUGCGAAGUUCUACUUGAAAAGCUGUGGUUUCAUUUCAAAGGAAACCAGCAAUCAGGGGGAUCUCUACAGGAAAAUCUCUUCCCUAUGUCUUCUUUAGACUCUUCAAAAAGGAGAGAGAGCACAAAAAAAGAAAAUACACAAGUAAAUAGGUUCAAGUACAUCAAGAAUCACAGUUUCUAAAAAGGCUAGUGAAAGGUCAAUGACUUCAGAGUCAAGAAAUCCAUUUCUAAUGUUUCUUCAGCUGUGACUCAUUGUGAAAUGUUGAGGAGGGUCACAGAAGCCUCCAGCCCUCGGUUUCCCCAGCUGUAAAACAAAUAUUUGAAUAAGUGGCCAGUCCACAUUAUAGCUGAUGUGCUUUCAGGGACUCAAAAUGAGAAUCAUAAAUAUGUAAAAAUACAAAGAUAAGGUGUUCCCUGUAGAAAAACACUAAACUAGCAGAAAAAGAAACAUCACAUUUGUGUGCUAAUUGGGUAUUCCAGAUUAAAGUAAUUUGUUAAAAAUUAUUGGAAGAAAAAUCCAUAAUUUGGCAAUAAAAAGGAUUUCCGUAAGAAGAGACAGACAAGAUCAUAACAGAUUCAGUGACUCUAGGUUACUCAGCCAAAUUAAAAUGCUCUCCUUUCAUCCUCGAAGGGAAAUCCUUGAGAAGUUUGUGGACCGUCACCAUCUGUUCAGCAAAACAUGCAUCAACAUAAUAUUUUCCACAUGUUUUUUGUUUUCUUUUUAAUUUUGCAAACGGAGAUUAAUCUUUUCCUAGUCAGAAUGUUUUACUAUAACCAUUGUCAGAGGAAAUAAGUGGAAACUCGGUUUUGAUCCCACUUCUCUCCCUACCCACUCGCCACCAUUUGCGUUUUCUAUGGUGAUGUGUGGAUUAAAGCUGAGGAGAAACUAAUAAUUCACAUCCUUUGCAGAUCAUGACAAGUCUGUAUUUCAUAAAACUGGAGAAAUCCUGCUCUGAAGCUCAUUUUUCAUGCAGCUACAAAAUCAUCUCUUUCUUCUCAUCAGAACUCCAUAGUGACAUCCAUCAAUAGCUGGAUCAAGGCCAAGAGUGCCAUAACCACCUACGGAUUCACUCUUCGCUGUGCCAUGCCAGUCAACUAUGCCCUUCCCUACUAUCCUUCUUCCACCACCAUUCCUCUGACUGUCAGGCUCAGCAAACAGCUUGCAGUUGGUCAAUGAGUGCUUACCAAGCCCCGGCUCUGUGCCCAGCAUCAUGCAAAGCAUAAAUGGACAUGGACAACAGUCUUAAACUACUUCCUACCCACAAGCAGCUCACAAACUUGUUGGGAAGAAAGUAGAACAAGGAGAGGAAAAGACAGUAAAAGCACCCACUGUGACAUGGUAAAAAUGAUGUUGACAACAAUAAUGAUGGUGCUGGGAUCUAACUCCUCUAUUUUGCCUGUAACUUGUCUUCCGAGUUUCUACACAUUGGUUGGCCAGAGGAAAAUUAACUUUGAAUUCCAUCUAGUCAAAAGUUUAGUAUGGUCCAAUAAUUAUAGUAGUCCCUUUAAGAAAUGCUCAGCUGUACAAUACUCAUUUUCCAAAAAGCUUAAAUCUUAGAAAACAGUUCCCUUGUCCAUUUAGGUGGGUUUGUGUAAUGCUGAUCAAAGUCUGGUCCAUCUAGGACCUCUGAUAAUAUUACUGUCACUCCCAAAGCUAGGUUUAUUUCCACCUGGUUGCAAUACUCAUAAAGAAAGAAAACCACUAAGUGAUGUGUUAAUAACAGGUAUGUAUAGAAAGCACCACUGUUAUUUUAAACAAGUAAAAUGAAACCCAAAAAGUUUGGCAAUACAAGAAGUGCUAUGGGCUAAACUGUGUCCUCACAAAAAUUCAUAUAUUGAAGCCCUAAUGUCCAGUACCUCAGAAUGUGACCGUAUUCGGAGAUAGGGCUUUAAAGAGGCGAUGAAGUUAAAACAAAGUCAUUGAGGUGAGGCUCUAAUUCAACGACUGAUAUCCUUAUAAGAAGAGGAAAUCUGGACAUAGAUGGGCCCAGAGGAAAGAUCACAUUAAGACAGAAAAAGAAGAUGGCCGCCUACAAGCCUAAGAGAGAAGCCUCGGGAGAAACCAACCCUGAUGACAACUUGAUCUCAGAUGGCUGGCCUUUAAAAUUGUGAGAAACUAAGUUUUUGUUGUUUAAGGCACCCAGUCUGUGGUACUUUGUUAUGGCAACCCUAACAAGCUAAUACAAUAACCAAUCUCUAAAAAACAUCUCUCUGUGAAUGAUACAAGAAUCCAGGGUUCUGUUUUUCUCACUGACAUUUUUGCUGUUUUAAUACUAAAAUGGUGUCUGGCAUAAAAAAUGUUUGAUAAUGUUUGUUGAAUUAAUAAGUAGAUAUUAUCUUUGCUGUUAAUUCAUGAUACAAUUUUAAUACAUUUUACCAACCUAAAUAGAAAAUCAAACUGAAAAAGUAACUUCCUCAUUAAACAAACACAAAAAAAUUCUAAAUUUACAUGCUAGGUAAUUUCUAACAAUAAUUUUUUAAAAGGAUUUUAUCUUAAUUUUCAUUUAUGUUUCUAUAGCCAGAGUCUUCCCAAGAUUCAAUACUUUGUUUGGUUUCCUAUCAUCUCAAUGAUCUCUUCCAAAUCCUGCUGAAGUUGUUAGAAGUAAAAUUAUCUCCAUCUUAUAAAUGGGAAAAGUAAACUGGCAAGUCAAAGAAUUUUCUAGAGAAUAGGCCCACAGAGAAGGCUGUUAAACCAGGAUGGAGAGAUUUAAACACAUACACCUAGGGGAGGCAGAGAAGAGACGGGAACAUGAGGUGGCCUGAAAAUGAGCACAGUAUUUGAAGGUCUCCCAACAUGAGUUUGAUCACAUUUAAAGCCCACCAAUUUAGAGCUUUUUCAAACUCCAUUCAAAGGGGGUUUUCCUGACGUAUCUGCAAAACCUAAUAAGAAGGCCCUGUCCUCUGUGUAAGCAGCUUUUCAUACAUGCAUAUAUUCAUUUAUUGAUUCAUUCAGUAACUACUUAUUGAGCAUCUACUAUGUGAAAGGCAUUCCUAUCAGCCCUGGAGAUGCAAUCGUGAGUAAAACAGACAGAAAUGUCCCUGCCCUCACGGAGUUUACAUCCUGGUAGUGGGGACAGAAAAUUUAAAAAAAAUAAAUAAGUAAAAUAUGUGUCAGUAUUAAGUACCAUGGAGAAAAAAUUAAACAGCGAUGAAAAAUAUAAAACGUAAGGAUGGUUGAAAUAUUCGGUCAGCCAGGAAAGGUGUCAUGAAGUUGAGUUAGGAAACUGACUACAUGAGAAACAUUUAAACACCUUCUUACCUUGUCAGACGGUAUUCUGAGUUCCAGAUUCAAGCAGCCUGGUUUCCAUACACAGUACCACUUUUUAUUUAUUGUGAGAAAAUUGCCUAAUUUUGUGUCUCAGUUUCUUUAUCUGUAAAAUGGGGAUAAUUUUUUUAACUAGUAGAGUUGUGAAGAGUCAAUUUAAAAACAAAACACAUUUAGUGCUUAAAACAGUGCCUGAUGUAUAAGAACUCAAUAAAUAUUAGGUUUUGUAGUUGCUUUUGUGUUUUUUUUACUUUCUAUGAUCUAAUUUCAAGAUUGUUAAAAUGGGACUCAUAAUGCCAGGCUUCACUGAAUUUUUGUAGGAAUCUCACGAGACAAGACAUAAAGAGCCCUUGGAGUUUGGAUCAUAGUAAGCACUAAAUGUAUGCUUCCUGCUCCUGUUACCAUUGUAACCAGGCAACAUUUUUGUUUUCUUAACUAUUGCAACAGUAUUUGACUUGGAACAAUAGCCAUCGGGAAUAGAAGGUUAGAUCCUGAGGACAUGGACGUACAUCCACAAUAAUCUUAGCAUAAAAGAAAAGAGAGAUAGUUAAGCUUCUCUGCACUUGAAAACAAGAGGAUGGGAGUAUUGGGAGAAACAGAAAGCAGAAGAGAAAAAGGGGAAGGAGAGAGGCACCGAGGAGCUGUUGUGAAGCUGGGGAUUUUAUAGGAUGAGGGAAGGGUAUCUAUUCGCUAAGGAUGGGAUAGUGGAGAAACAUUUUACAAAUAAAGAUGAGUCAAGUUAAAUUUGAAAUUAUUUUUGUUUCAACAUGAACUGCACUUCUGUCUCCUCAUGCCACCAAAAGUUUUAAUAAAUACAUUAUACUCAC
rnacentral:lncRNA from 1 species